rnacentral:tRNA from 1 species
UCCUUGUUAGUAUAGUGGUAAGUAUCCCUGCCUGUCACAUGGGAGACUGGGGUUUGAUUCCCUGAUGGGGAG